GUGCCAGCCGCCGCGGUAAAACGUAGGAGGCGAGCGUUAUCCGGAUUCACUGGGCGUAAAGCGCGUGCAGGCGGUUCGGUAAGUUGGGCGUGAAAUCUCCUGGCUUAACUAGGAGAGGUCGUUCAAUACUACCGGGCUAGAGAGUGGUAGAGGAAGAUGGAAUUCCCGGUGUAGUGGUGAAAUGCGUAGAUAUCGGGAGGAACACCAGUGGCGAAAGCGAUCUUCUGGACCAUUUCUGACGCUCAGACGCGAAAGCUAGGGUAGUAAACGGGAUUAGAGACCCCGGUAAUCCUAGCCGUAAACGAUGUUAACUUGGUGUCGGUGGCUUAAACUCUGUCGGUACCGAAGCAAACGCGAUAAGUUAACCGCCUGGGGACUACGAUCGCAAGAUUAAA
rnacentral:rRNA from 1 species